GGCCUCUAUCAGGCAUCAAUUUAGAAAUUGGGAGGCUUACUCUGUCUGGACCGCCAUAAUAGAAUGCCAUAGACUGGGUGGCUUAUGAACAACAGAAAUUUCUUACAGUUCUGGAGGCUGGGAAGUCCAAGACCAAGGUGCUAGCAGGUUCCAUGUCUGGUGAGAGAUUGCUUCCUCGGCUAUCUUUUUCUAUAAUACCACAUGGUGGAAAUGGCAAGGGAGCUUCCUUUUGGCUUCUUUUCUAAGGGUACUAAUCCUAUUCAUGAGGGCUCUGCCCAAAGGACCUAAUAACCCCCAAAGACCCCACUUCCUAAUACCAUCACUUUGGGGGGUUAAUUUCAGCAUAUGAAUUUUGGGUGGACACAAACAUUCCGACCAUAGCAGAGCUAUAAAGGACUCACUGGUUAGUGGUAUCAAAUAUGCACAAGCGAAACGGUCAUUCCUUUGUUUUCAGGGGUGAGGCAGUGCUACAGCCUUCUAUCUGUGUCUUAAACUGGCUUGCCUGCCCUCCCUAUUGUUCUACAAUGUGCUUGACCUUUCUUCUGAUUGGUACGCAGGAUCUGUAUAACUUAGGUGUUCCUUUGAUCUUUUGAUGAUGAACACUAGAGAGGAUUCAGGGACUUUGGGAUGGUGGGUAGGAGCCAGCUACAGGAAGGUCUAGAGAAAGCUUUCCAGGCAGAUGGAAUAGAGGAUGGAGUCUAUAGGGCAGGAAUGACCUUGGUGAGUUGAGGAAACAGGGGCCCCAAAAGGCUGGAGCACAAUAACUAGGGCAGAAAGUGGCAUAAAAUGAAGUCAGGGAAUACAGCUGGGAUCAAACUACAGUUGGGGGGAAGACAGCUUGGAGUCUAGGGUAUUAAAUCUGAGCUAGGGUGGGCUCCUGGAAGAGAUAGGAAUGUCCCUGUCAAAGCCCCAGCUGAAUACUGCAGAACAGCAGAGGUGGUGAAACAAGAAAACCCAGGCCAACCUGGCUGAAACCAUCUAAAUGAAGAUGAUGUCGGGUGAACAGAAGGAAACAUAAAGACCACUAGAGUGGAACACAAGAGUGUCAGUGACCUAAAGAACCUUAUUAAGAACACACCAACCUCUCAAACCUAGACAAAGAAGGGUGUCUGAGAGGAUAUUUAAACCACAAACCCAAUUCAAAGCUGCAGACUGUUUUAAGAGACAUCUCAGGAGGACCCUGGGGGACAUCCACCUCUGAGGCUGGAGAUGCACUUCCCCACUGUUAUCUAUAGAAAAAUGGAAAAUCUUUUACAUUGUCAAUGGAGUACAUGGAAGUUUACUAUUCACUAGCUCAGGGAUUGUCCUCUAAAAAUUUAUAGCUUGACUACAUAGAGUUUUAACUGAUUGUCUGAUGGUAGGUAGGGUUGCAAUGGAGCAUAAUGAACUGAAGGGUAAAAGAAAAAAAUGCUGGAAUAUACCAUCACCUGGUAGAAUCCAGAGUCCUAACGAGCUUCUAUAUAAUUCUAGUCUUAACUGUUACACUUGAGAGAAAAUGAUAUAAACCACAUACAUGUUUUUAAAUGUUUGUUACCCCUUCUGUCCAAGGUUUCUGUACUGUUGCUACCUUAUACCAAGUCACUAUCAUCUCUCACCUGGAUUAUUAAAGUAACUAACUACUUAAUCUUUCUGCUUCCAUGCUUGCAUCCUUACAGGCCUUCCUCAAACAGGAGUCUGAGUGUGGAUCUUCUAAACACUAAAUCAGGACUUCUUUUUCCCAAUAAUGGUGGGCUACAUUAUUUGGAUCGACCCUAUAGCUGAAAACAACCUGAAACAGGAAAACUGAACAAAAUAUAAGAAGUAUUUUUUUAAGAUCAAUGAAGAGAUGACAAAACAAUAAGGAAUUGUCAUGCCAAAAAGUGAAGGGAAGACUUAAGAAUGGGUAAGAAGGCAUGGGAGCCACUUUUGCCCUGAAGGCACUCUCAUAUUCCCCAAAUUAGACCACUUUGACAGCGUCAUGAGUCCCAGGGUAUGAAAAUCAGAGGCACAGACUGGCCAAGUAGGGAGUCUAAUAAUAGACUGUGGUGAGCAGGCUCUAAGGUAUCUCCCACCCCACUCCCAAGUGUAAGGGAAGGGACUUCCGACCUUAAUCUUACCAAGAGAGUAUGGCAAAGUGAUAGAAUGUCAUUCCCAUGACUGUUGUUAUAAAAGUGUCAGUCUUGUUAGUUACUUGGUCUUGUUAGUAGACACAUGGCAGAGAACUUAGGGCAGCCUCUAGCAAGAAUGCCACAGAUUAAAAAAACCCACUGAAUCCCAACAAAUACAAAGGGAAUCAACACCUAGAGUCAUCAUAAUCAAACUAGAAUACCAAAGAAAAAAAGAAAAGCUUAAAAGCUGCUAGAGAAAAGGAUAAAUUAUGUUUAAGAAACAUGCUUAGUACAUGGGAGACACCUAUUAUAUAUUUGUUAAAUGAAUAAACAAUCACACAUUACUUGGGAGCUCUUAUGCUUUACUAGCUCUGUGACUUAUGUCACUUGACUGCUUUGAAACUCAGUCUCCUGAUCUUCAAAAUGUAGAUAAUAAAACCUACUUUAUAAGGAUGAUUAUGAGAAUUAUAUUCCUGGUGUAAUUAGGUGCUUCAGUUCUGCACAGGCUCUCUCCCAAAUGUGUGUUUCUGGUCUAUUCUAUGCAAAUCUAUUCUCUAGGUCUCCAGUUCCAAACAUCUAUCUUGAAAUACUUCUAUAUCUAAAACAUAUUUCCUUCCUUCCCUUUUGAAGGGCUGGAGGCUUCAGAAAAACAACAACUAUUGCAAUAACAUCUGUUCAGCUAUGGGGCGGGGGGGAAGGUGAGUGAACAAACAUUUAGCUUAGGAUGUGCCUGAUAAUUCCCCUACCUAAAUAAUACUCAGUAGAAUUUUCCCAAACUCUGUCAUGAUAAGGGUUCCCUGAGGCAGUUGUUAGUAAUACAGUUUUGGGGUCUGUUCCUCUGAACAGCAGGACUCCUUAGGUUUAGGGUAGAACCGGGAAUCUGACUUUUUAACAAGCACCCGGGUGAUUCUCACCUUCGUAGAAUAGUAGGACUAUAGCUAGGAGGUGAGGAUUAAAUAACUGGCCAAGCUACUGAUUAAUCUGAGUGAACAAAUAUUUCCUGCUGUAGGAAAGAGAAUAAAGUACAAAUAAGAGGCUGGACCUGUGAAGGUAUGGAUGUAACAUGGCUCAUGUCUGGACAGGCUCACUAACUUAGAGACAUAGAUGUGCAUAAAAUAUUUUAAGGCAAGAGGCUAGGCUACCAUUGGAUGGCCAAUAGCAAACAAAAUAGGAGUUCUGAUGGUAGGGGACCUGGGAAAGCUUUGUAAAGGAAGUACACUCUAGACUACUGUCUAGACUUACAGAAUUUUUUUCAGGUGAAUUAUAAAUAGGAAAUGGAAUUCUAGGAAAGAAAAAUAGUUUUAAGCAAAGGAAUAAAGGUAUAAAAUGCCCAAGUUGGUUCUAGUGAAAGCAAGAAAACUGAGCUGUUCCUUUCCCAAGUACAGGGGAAAUGCCUGGACAGGAAGGUGAAAAAGGGCCAGGUGGAAAUGAGCAAACAAUUUGAAAACAUAGUGCAGAAGAUCUUACAAGGUUAGGGUUGAGAGAAUGGGUGGGCAGAGGGAGCAGAAACCUGAAAACCCUACCAUGAGACUAGGAGCCUCUGAGAGAAAACCCAAGAUGAGGACCUCUGCCUCAGGACGCUGAUCCUCACACCUUGAGAGAGGGCUUUCUGACCCCAUAACUGACUGGCAAAUCCCGAAACUUAAGCCCCCAAAUGCCGAAACUCACUAAUCUAUCCCAGUAGUGAGUAGAGACCCUGUGAUCCCCUCCUGGGAUUUUAAAUACGUCCCUGCCUACUCCAGUCCCUCCCCACCUACCCUGCACCUUUCAUGUGUUCAAAAGUCCUGGAAUACUUUUUGUCAACAGCAAUUUCCUCUGCCCAGAAUGUUUUUCCCAACUUUAUUUGACUAACUUAUUCAUUUGUCAGGUCUCUGUUUAUAUACUUCUCACUCAGAGAAGCCUUUCCUACUCACUUGGUCUAAAUGUCCUCCACUCCUCUGUAGAUGCCCUUUGAAUUUUUCUUCAUAGCUCACACAAAUACUUAAGAUGACAUUCUUAUUUGUGUUUGUGGCUCUCUUCAGUCACACAGUAAGCUCUGUGGCUGUGUCUGCUUCCCUCCCCAUUCUCUGCUCAGUACCUAGCCCAGGGCAAUCUCUCACCAUAUUUAUUUUAAAGAGACAGGGAAAGGGACUCUAAGCUUCUCCAAGAUCCUCUGAAUUCUCAAGGCCCUAAUGCCUUUCCUGCCUCCUUUUCCAGAGCUUGUGCCUGGGUUCGAAUCCUGAUGUCAGUAUUUACCAACUGGGACACACUGGACAAGUGGUCUACACUGCUUAAAUCUCAGUUUCCUUUUCCUGUCAAAUUGAGAGGACAGUUCCUACCUCACAGGGUUGUGAGGAAGAUUUAUAAGAGCAUCUAACAGUAAAACAUCUAACAGUAUCUAGAAAAUAGUGGUUGAUAAAAGUUAGCUGCCAUUAUUACUGUUGCUAAUAACGAAUCACCUCUAAGAUUCAAGCCAUCGGGCUUUUUUUCCACAAGAAAGUUCUCCUUUUAUUAAUAUACCUAAAGAGGUCUUAUAAAUUGAUAAGAAAAUGCAAAAAAAAAAAAAGUGGAUUCCAGAAUUGUAAAAUCA